rnacentral:rRNA from 1 species
UAUGACGCUGGCGGAUGCUUAACACAUGCAAGUCGUGCGGUAACACUUCGGGUGACGAGCGGCGGACGGGUGCGUAACGCGUGAGAAUCUACCUUUUAGUGGGGGACAACUCGGGGAAACUCGGGCUAAUACCGCAUAUGUCCUACGGGAUAAAGCAGGGGACCUUCGGGCCUUGCGCUAAAAGAUGAGCUCGCGUGAGAUUAGCUUGUUGGUGAGGUAAAGGCUCACCAAGGCAACGAUCUCUAGCUGGUCUGAGAGGAUGAUCAGCCACACA